UGUGUCGAAUCCUUGUAUAAGGUACGGGGGAAUCAAAUUCAUUGGGGUGAAUCGCACGUGUUUUAGGAAGCAUUUGCGGAGGCGGCCUUCAAGCCUAACCCGUCAGUUAACCUCGGAGACAGAGAGG
rnacentral:sRNA from 1 species